GCUGGAGUCCAGCACGUCCGUAUCAGCUGGAGUCUGGAACGUCCACAGCAGGAGGACGUCCAGCCAAGGCAUGAUGGGAUAUAGAAAGCAUCUCUUCAGAAUCAUAACAUAGAUUUAGGGAGGGGCUGAAGACCCUUGGCGUUCUGGAUGCAAUCCAAAUGCAUCCAGACAGUUUUAGGCCUUUAAUGUGCCAUGAACCGUCUCCAGUCUCAGCUGACUCAAUGGAUCACCUUUUCCACAUCCGGCUGUCUGAAGUAGGAAUCAACAAGAGAAGGGCAGAGGAACUUGUUGUACCAUUUUGGAGAGAUUACCUCCAGGAUGUUGAAGAGCAAGAGGGAUCAUCAAAACUAGGUAAAAUCCUAGCCUUUGCCACCAGUGCAAGUGUCAUCCCUCCAGUCGGCUUGUCCCCUCAGCCAUCAAUUGAUUUUCUACAUUCCUUCAGCCCCAAAAGCCAUUUGCCAAUGGCAAACACCUGCAUCAACUCCCUUCAGCUGCCACUGCUUGGCAGAUGUGAAGAUUUUAGGGAGAGCAUGGACUUUGCAAUUGGUAACACGCAGGGUUUUGGUAGAGAAUAAGCAGGGAACAUUAUUUUUGUUCCAGAAGGAUGAGUUUGUGUGAUUUUGUUUUCUUUUGGUUUUUUUUUCCCUUUUAACUGAUGAAAUAACUGUAUGCCAUGGUUACCAUCAUCGCUCAGUGGGUCUAUUGUCUCUUGAAUUGUGUUCAUAACUGUUUGAUUUACAAUAA